GUACUAAUCCCCCCAGAGGAACCUGGCGCUUAAUUCGAUGAUCCACGAAACUCUUACCCUCCCUAGUGUGAACGAGGGCUACCAUAUAAGGUGGGCCCCGUGACAUUCAGUUUGCAUACCGCCGUUGUGCAGCCUAUACUGUGAAGGGAUAUAAAUAGGCGACGCAGUAGCCUGAGGGUUACUACUAAUUCAGGUAAACGUGUAGCCUAUGGGAGGGGGUCGCUGGGUUACAGUUUUGGUUUUCAUUGGAGCCACUAACUGAGGAAGAUGGUGAAAGAGGAUUUGGAAGUAACAGUUUUAUAGAUAGAAGCUGUGAAUAAGGCUCUAGUAUGUGU
rnacentral:rRNA from 1 species